AACGAGACCUUAACCUGCUAAAUAGCCAGGCCGUCUUUGGAUGGUCGCCGGCUUCUUAGAGGGACUGUCAGCGUCUAGCUGACGGAAGUUUGAGGCAAUAACAGGUCUGUGAUGCCCUUAGAUGUUCUGGGCCGCACGCGCGCUACACUGACAGAGCCAGCGAGUUUUUUUCCUUGGCCGGAAGGACUGGGUAAUCUUGUGAAACUCU
rnacentral:rRNA from 1 species